rnacentral:rRNA from 1 species
AUUGAACGCUGGCGGCAUGCUUUACACAUGCAAGUCGAGCGGCAGCGCGGGGGCAACCCUGGCGGCGAGCGGCGAACGGGUGAGUAAUGCAUCGGAACGUACCCUGGAGUGGGGGAUAACGCCGCGAAAGCGGCGCUAAUACCGCAUAUGCUCUGAGGAGGAAAGUGGGGGACCGCAAAGGCCUCACGCUCUGGGAGCGGCCGAUGUCCGAUUAGCUAGUUGGUGGGGUAAAGGCUUACCAAGGCGACGAUCGGUAGCUGGUCUGAGAGGAUGAUCAGCCACACUGGGACUGAGGCACGGCCCAGACUCCUACGGGAGGCAGCAGUGGGGAAUUUUGGACAAUGGGGGCAACCCUGAUCCAGCCAUGCCGCGUGAGUGAAGAAGGCCU